UCCAAAAAUGCUCAUCUGAAUCACUUAUUUGUAUUUGGAAAUUUUAAAAUUUUGUAUAUUUUCAGGCUUGACUAUUUCUUGCGUUUAUUUGUAAUUACUCCAACUAAAUAUUUGUUUCAUUAGUUAAAAACAAUGAGGACCAGAAGAAAAAGGAAACUCAUAAUAGAUGAAAGGAUGAGUAUUUCUGCUGAAGAAAUGAAAAGUCAACUAUCUGAUACCUCAGAUAUCAUAGCCAUCUUUGAUUCUGCUCCUCCAACAAAAAAAUUGAUGAAAUGGAAAGAAACGGCUGGAGUGGAGAAGCUUUUUGGUAUUCCUGGACAUCAAAUUCCCUCAAAAGCUUUAUCCGAGGGAUUUUUAAAACAUUUGACAACUAGGGUGCUUGAGAAUGAGGAGUUAUCUGAAGAAGAAAUUGAGAAAACAAAACUUGGUAAAUCAGAAAAUGGACCAUCUGCAAAACAAAAGAGUAAAUCCAAAAAAGGUUUAUCCAUGGAUCAGUUAAUACAUUUUUGUGCUCCCACCAAUGUCUCUAACUACUUAAAGUCCUCCUCUUCCAUUUCCAAUGUUGUACUUAUUACACGUGGUUUAUCAACAGAUUCUUCCCACUGAAUCAAUCUUUCAUGGAUUCCAAAGAACAGGUUAAAAAAAAAAAAGCUGCAUUGUCUAAAGUUUCUUUUCCUUGGAUAUAUAAGCAAUCUGCUAUGUGAUGUUUCAUUAAUAACUACUUCUUGAAACACAGGGGAUGCUUGAUGAUAACCGUAUGAAGAAGAAAUUAUAAGCCAAACAACAGCAGCAGCCGGGAGAAAGCAUCAUCAUGCAAACUUCAAGAGUUGGGUAAGAGUUAAAACUACACUCAACUUUUGCUCAAGUGACAGGCUUCAUGAUGCUAAGUGUUCAAUCUUUUCUUAGAAAAAUGUGUGGAAAUUUGGUCUGCACAACUCACAAAAGGUUAUGCAAGAGUUUCUACGUGUGAAUCAAUAGCAGACAAUUUAACAAAACGAUGCCUGAGCAAAAAAAUACUUAAAAAUACCAUGAACUUAAAGAAGCAAAACAUAACCUACUUUUUCUUCUAUGAAUACUGAUUGGGAGAUCAAUGUUUCACACAGCAGCAUUGUAGUUUUUCCCUCGCCUUUCUUCGAGAGGAUAACAUUUCUACCUGUAAAAAUAUAAAUUAUUUUUCUAAUAGAGAUUAUCUUUUGUACCUGUUAAAAGUGGGUUUCUGUUGGAUUAUUAUGUAAAUAGGAUUUUUUUCGAUAUCGGAACAAAGGAUAGUAUGUGCAGUACCUACAGAUGAUUGCUAGAAAAAUUUUAUAUAAAGUGUGAAUGGAAAAAAAGAUUUUUAACUCGUUUGAUCAAAUCUUUUUUAGUUUGUCUUUUCUCUUUUUUUAAUUUAAAGAAGAAAUAGUGACAGCAGAUGGAUUAAGUAUAGUGACGACGAAGCUCUCUCAGCUAAAGUGUUGGAAUGUGAUAGUCAACUGGGAUCUAACAUGGCUGUGAGAAUUUUAUAGUUGUCUUCUCAAAACAAUUUUGUGAUUGUCAUUGAGAAAUGUUUGUGUCCUGCAAAACUGCUGAAGUGUGCGUGAGAUCAAGACAUCUAGUACUAUAAUCUAUUAUUGGUGCUGCAAACUAAAUGGAAUCAUCUAUGGUGUGCUUAGCAGUGAAGAGCUCCUAUUGAUUUAGUUAACCUUCCUAACUAAAAUGAAGCACUCUUUUGAACUAAUUGAUUUGAUUGGUGUGAAUUGAAAUUUGAUUUAUUCACUGCCAAGUGUUACAUUAAGUUACUUACGAUUUUAUCUUAUUGCUGAUGUGAGUUUAAUUUACGCCAUACACUUUCAUCAGUGUUAUUUGUUAAAUAUUAAUAAAAAUUGUUUUAUUUGUUUCA